AACGAACGCUGGCGGCAUGCCUAACACAUGCAAGUCGAACGAGACCUUCGGGUCUAGUGGCGCACGGGUGCGCAACGCGUGGGAAUCUACCCUUGGGUUCGGAAUAACAGUUAGAAAUGACUGCUAAUACCGGAUGAUGACGUAAGUCCAAAGAUUUAUCGCCUAAGGAUGAGCCCGCGUAAGAUUAGCUUGUUGGUGGGGUAAUGGCCUACCAAGGCGACGAUCUUUAGCUGGUCUGAGAGGAUGAUCAGCCACACUGGGACUGAGACACGGCCCAGACUCCUACGGGAGGCAGCAGUGGGGAAUAUUGGACAAUGGGCGAAAGCCUGAUCCAGCAUGCCGCGUGAGUGAUGAAGGCCUUAGGGUUGUAAAGCUCUUUUACCAGGGAUGAUAAUGACAGUACCUGGAGAAUAAGCUCCGGCUAACUCCGUGCCAGCCGCCGCGGUAA
rnacentral:rRNA from 1 species